GUUGCGGACAGUGUCUGGUGGGUAGUUUGACUGGGGCGGUCUCCUCCUAAAGAGUAACGGAGGAGCACGAAGGUUGGCUAAUCCUGGUCGGACAUCAGGAGGUUAGUGCAAUGGCAUAAGCCAGCUUGACUGCGAGCGUGACGGCGCGAGCAGGUGCGAAAGCAGGUCAUAGUGAUCCGGUGGUUCUGAAUGGAAGGGCCAUCGCUCAACGGAUAAAAGGUACUCCGGGGAUAACAGGCUGAUACCGCCCAAGAGUUCAUAUCGACGGCGGUGUUUGGCACCUCGAUGUCGGCUCAUCACAUCCUGGGGCUGAAGUAGGUCCCAAGGGUAUGGCUGUUCGCCAUUUAAAGUGGUACGCGAGCUGGGUUUAGAACGUCGUGAGACAGUUCGGUCCCUAUCUGCCGUGGGCGCUGGAGAACUGAGGGGGGCUGCUCCUAGUACGAGAGGACCGGAGUGGACGCAUCACUGGUGUUCGGGUUGUCAUGCCAAUGGCACUGCCCGGUAGCUAAAUGCGGAAGAGAUAAGUGCUGAAAGCAUCUAAGCACGAAACUUGCCCCGAGAUGAGUUCUCCCUGACUCCUUGAGAGUCCUGAAGGAACGUUGAAGACGACGACGUUGAUAGGCCGGGUGUGUAAGCGCAGCGAUGCGUUGAGCUAACCGGUACUAAUGAACCGUGAGGCUUAACCUUACAACGCCGAAGGUGUUU
rnacentral:rRNA from 1 species